rnacentral:rRNA from 1 species
GAUGAACGCUGGCGGCGUGCCUAAUACAUGCAAGUCGAGCGAACAGACGAGGAGCUUGCUUCUCUGACGUUAGCGGCGGACGGGUGAGUAACACGUGGAUAACCUACCUAUAAGACUGGGAUAACUUCGGGAAACCGGAGCUAAAACCGGAUAAUAUAUUGAACCGCAUGGUUCAAUAGUGAAAGACGGUUUUGCUGUCACUUAUAGAUGGAUCCGCGCCGCAUUAGCUAGUUGGUAAGGUAACGGCUUACCAAGGCAACGAUGCGUAGCCGACCUGAGAGGGUGAUCGGCCACACUGGAACUGAGACACGGUCCAGACGCCUACGGGAGGCAGCAGUAGGGAAUCUUCCGCAAUGGGCGAAAGCCUGACGGAGCAACGCCGCGUGAGUGAUGAAGGUCUUCGGAUCGUAAAACUCUGUUAUUAGGGAAGAACAAAUGUGUAAGUAACUAUGCACGUCUUGACGGUACCUAAUCAGAAAGCCACGGCUAACUACGUG